CCCACGACGGGAAGCCUAAUAAUAAUAUAGCUAGACUCUGGCCCAUGGGAUGCUAUGUGGGCUUGGCCCAGUUCUGUUCCCCUUCACUGCCUCGUCGGCCACCGCAGCCCGACCAACCAUCCCAUAUCUCUCCCCGCCGAUGACAGCCGCCGGUGACACCGCCGCCGCCUGACGAGCUUGCCUCCUCCGAGGGCACAUGUCCGCUCUCCGUCUGUGCAAGGGAGCCGUCCAGUCGCCGCCGGGGCACCGGUGCUGGUCGGGGUGCUCGAGGUCGAGGAACCUUGUCGCCGCCGCUGCUGCCGCGUCCUCCUGCGCUCCAAGAGGGGCCGCCGCCGCCGCGUGCUGCCGGAACAAGCAUCAGGGGAGCUUCCGCUUGGUGCGCGCGUCUCCUUCCUUCGGCAGAAGCACCAGGGUGGUGCAAUGGGCCAUUAAGACUAUGGCAGACGACAAUCCCGACAAUUCAGGCAAUAGCACUCGGCUGUUUAAUGCAAUUCAAUCUUUCUUAAAGAAGUUGUCUGGCAAGCUGAAGAAAGUGAGUAGAGGGUUUCCAGUAAAGAUCCUAUUCUUUCUGAUAGGAUUUUACUGUGCCACGGCAUUUGCUACCGUCAUCGGGCAAACAGGCGACUGGGACAUACUUUCUGCCGGAUUGGCUGUUGCCAUCGUCGAGGUUAUUGGCGCUCUCAUGUACAGGGCUUCCUUUGCGCUUCUUGGCAGGAUGAAGAAUAUGAUUUCCAUAUUCAAUUACUGGAAAGCCGGGCUCACGCUUGGAUUGUUCUUGGAUUCGUUUAAAUUUUAGUACCUUGGUUCAUCCGCCAAAUGUUGCCCAAAUUACGCCUGCUCCUGCAUCCAUAACGACCCCGAUGGCGCAUUUGCAUCGAUGAUGAGCCUGAUGGCGCUGGCGCAUUCCUCAUGUAUGAAGCUGUGCUCCUGCUCCUCGUCAUCCUCUCCCUCAGCGGGCAUCUUCUUGUGCUGCUCCCACUAGGACAGGCUCCGCUCUCUCCUCUGGUCUUGGCAUCCUGCCAUGCUGCAAGACAGCCUGCACACCAUCAUCUCCAUCGGAAUGGUGCCGAGCAGGCAGCUUCUGAGCACAAGAGCGUGGAAGCGGGAAAAGAGUGCGGCUUGCCUGUGAUCAUGCCUGGGGAUAACAUCCUGAAGUUCUUCACGAGGCUUGGCCCACACAAGACGCGCUGACUUGGAGCAAGGGCGAAGUCGAGGUGCAAGUCAGAUGUUCAGUUUUGUGAGACCGCUGGUAUCUGCAAGCGGGCUUAUGGUUGACUGAUUGUAGUUAGCCGUUAGCGACUUAUGAUUGAUGGAUUGAUUUAUAUAUGCAAGCGGCUUACGGUUGACAGAUUGAUUGUAUGUAAGAAGUGCGUUCGUGGGUUUUUAGAGAUGACGAAAAUAAUCUUUCAUGUGUAUUAGA